AUUGAACGCUGGCGGCAUGCCUAACACAUGCAAGUCGAGCGGAUGAAGAGAGCUUGCUCUCUGAUUUAGCGGCGGACGGGUGAGUAAUGCCUAGGAAUCUGCCUGGUAGUGGGGGAUGACGUUCCGAAAGGAACGCUAAUACCGCAUACGUCCUACGGGAGAAAGCAGGAGACCUUCGGGCCUUGCGCUAUCAGAUGAGCCUAGGUCGGAUUAGCUAGUUGGUGAGGUAAUGGCUCACCAAGGCGACGAUCCGUAACUGGUCUGAGAGGAUGAUCAGUCACACUGGAACUGAGACACGGUCCAGACUCCUACGGGAGGCAGCAGUGGGGAAUAUUGGACAAUGGGCGAAAGCCUGAUCCAGCCAUGCCGCGUGUGUGAAGAAGGUCUUUGGAUUGUAAAGCACUUUAAGUUGGGAGGAAGGGUUGUAGAUUAAUACUCUGCAAUUUUGACGUUACCAACAGAAUAAGCACCGGCUAACUUCGUGCCAGCCGCCGCAGUAAAAC
rnacentral:rRNA from 1 species